UAUAUAGCUGCUCGCCUACGCGCUGUGUCCGGUCUUUGCCACGCUGCGACUUGUGCAGUGUUUGAGCUCAAAUCACAAAGAAAUGGCUCCAAGCUGCAAGAAUAUCGCAGCUGGGAUGAGCAGAAGUUACCAGGUAGAGGAUGCCAAGAGUUGAAAUCCAGUGGGAUGGCAUGAUAAAAAAUGGCUGCAACUAAGGUUGAACUAUGGUGUCCACCCAUACUUUGGUCAAACGAUUGCAUCAACUGAAGUGUUUAACUAUGGAUUUGUAGCCAACAUAGUUGGCUUGGAAACCUCUAGCACAUGAAUAAAGGUUGGCGUGGCACCAAAAGGCAGUCUCGUAUGCACAUUUGCGUGAGGAGGUGGCUGCUUGUAAGUUGAAGCCAGAAGAGUUGUGACCAGGAUACAGAAAAACGAAGACGUCAACCUUUGCAUUGUGUUUGAAGUCUGUGUCAUUUCAAAGGGAAUUUGUGGAGUAACUUUUUAACCAUUCAGUUUAAACUGUGAUUCCAAAGUUUUUGUAAAAUUGCAAGUUUCUUGAUUACAGAUUGAUGUGAAGUUUUUAGUCUAUAAUAAACAGACUUUUAAAAACUUGAUUUGCUUGAUGAUGGAUCAAAUACUUAUGGAAAUGCACUUGCUCUAGUACAUAGUACUCCUAUCAUUAAUAUUAUAUUGCUGGUUUACCUGGCCAUACUUUUAAGCAACACCUUGUUAUUCAUAUUGAGAUCAUUUUAUUUUGUGGCACAACACAAACAAUUUGACCCAAGUGUGUGUUGGGUGAAUUAUUAUGUAUAAAUCAAGUCUAUACUGAUGGCCUUAACAGGCUUUGAGAUUAUGGUAACACUUUACAAUGAGGUUCCAUUUGUUAACAUUAGUUAACAAUAUUAAUUUACAUGAUCUAACAAUGAACAAUACAUGUAAAGCAUUUAUUAGUCUUAAUGUUAAUUUCAACAUAAUACAUUUUAACAUUUAAUGCACUAUGAACUAACAGUGAACAAAAGUGUUUUAAACAAAGAUUAAAUGAUGUAAAAAUAUAUACAUGUGUGUAUAUACAGGUGCAUCUCAAUAAAUUAGAAUGUCGUGGAAAAGUGCAUUUAUUUCAGUAAUUCAACUCAAAUUGUGAAACUCGUGUAUUAAAUAA